rnacentral:rRNA from 1 species
CCCAAUUGAUUGAUGGUGCUUGCACCUGAUUGAUUUUGGUUGCCAACGAGUGGCGGACGGGUGAGUAACACGUAGGUAACCUGCCCAGAAGCGGGGGACAACAUUUGGAAACAGAUGCUAAUACCGCAUAACAGCGUUGUUCGCAUGAACAACGCUUAAAAGAUGGCUUCUCGCUAUCACUUCUGGAUGGACCUGCGGUGCAUUAGCUUGUUGGUGGGGUAACGGCCUACCAAGGCGAUGAUGCAUAGCCGAGUUGAGAGACUGAUCGGCCACAAUGGGACUGAGACACGGCCCAUACUCCUACGGGAGGCAGCAGUAGGGAAUCUUCCACAAUGGGCGCAAGCCUGAUGGAGCAACACCGCGUGAGUGAAGAAGGGUUUCGGCUCGUAAAGCUCUGUUGUUAAAGAAGAACACGUAUGAGAGUAACUGUUCAUACGUUGACGGUAUUUAACCAGAAAGUCACGGCUAACUACGUGCCAGCAGCCGCGGUAAUACGUAGGUGGCAAGCGUUAUCCGGAUUUAUUGGGCGUAAAGAGAGUGCAGGCGGUUUUCUAAGUCUGAUGUGAAAGCCUUCGGCUUAACCGGAGAAGUGCAUCGGAAACUGGAUAACUUGAGUGCAGAAGAGGGUAGUGGAACUCCAUGUGUAGCGGUGGAAUGCGUAGAUAUAUGGAAGAACACCAGUGGCGAAGGCGGCUACCUGGUCUGCAACUGACGCUGAGACUCGAAAGCAUGGGUAGCGAACAGGAUUAGAUACCCUGGUAGUCCAUGCCGUAAACGAUGAGUGCUAGGUGUUGGAGGGUUUCCGCCCUUCAGUGCCGGAGCUAACGCAUUAAGCACUCCGCCUGGGGAGUACGACCGCAAGGUUGAAACUCAAAGGAAUUGA